rnacentral:rRNA from 1 species
UGAGAAAACCGGUGCAAGCACAAUAGAUGUGUGGGAGGAAAAACCCCCGCAUAAGUCGAAGGUGUGACGCGGACCGAAAAAGAGUAGGGAAGCUGUUAAGCAAGCCGUCAAGAAAAGCUGCUAUUGUUUCAUUAUGGCCCGUACCGUAAACCGACACAGGUGGAUGGGGAGAGAAUCCUAAGGCCGGCGGAAGAAGUAUUGUUAAGGAACUCGGCAAAAUGACCCCGUAACUUCGGGAGAAGGGGUGCCUGCGAGAGCAGGCCGCAGAGAAGAGGCCCAAGCAACUGUUUAGCAAAAACACAGGUCUAUGCAAAACCGAAAGGUGAGGUAUAGGGGCUGACGCCUGCCCGGUGCUGGAAGGUUAAGGGGAGUGGUCAGGAAACGAAGCCACGAACUUAAGCCCCAGUAAACGGCGGCCGUAACAAUAACGGUCCUAAGGUAGCGAAAUUCCUUGUCGGGUAAGUUCCGACCCGCACGAAAGGCGUAAUGAUUUGGGCGCUGUCUCGACAAUACAUCCGGUGAAAUUGAAGUGCCAGUGAAGAUGCUGGCUACCUGCGCCAGGACGGAAAGACCCCAUGGAGCUUUACUCCAGCUUGAUACUGGGACCCGGUAUUGCAUGUACAGGAUAGGUGGGAGGCUAGGAAAUGUGGACGCCAGUCUGCAUGGAGCCGCUGUUGGGAUACCACCCUUGUGGUGCUGGGUUUCUAACCAGAGGCCGUGAACCGGUCUGGGGACAAUGUCAGGUGGGGAGUUUGACUGGGGCGGUCGCCUCCGAAAGGGUAUCGGAGGCGCCCAAAGGUUCCCUCAGAAUGGUUGGAAACCAUUCGAAGAGUGCAAAGGCAGAAGGGAGCUUGACUGCGACACCGACGGGUGGAGCAGGUACGAAAGUAGGGCUUAGUGAUCCGGUGGAAUUUAAGUGGGAAUGCCAUCGCUCAACGGAUAAAAGCUACCCUGGGAUAACAGGCUGAUCACUCCCAAGAGUUCACAUCGACGGAGUGGUUUGGCACCUCGAUGUCGGCUCAUCGCAUCCUGGGGCUGAAGUCGGUCCCAAGGGUUGGGCUGUUCGCCCAUUAAAGCGGUACGCGAGCUGGGUUCAGAACGUCGUGAGACAGUUCGGUCCCUAUCCGGCGUGGGCGUAGGAUAUCUGAGAGGAGCUGUCCUUAGUACGAGAGGACCGGGAUGGACUGACCUCUGGUGUACCGGUUGGCGAUCAACGCCACGGCCGGGUAGCCAUGUCGGGACGGGAUAAACGCUGAAGGCAUCUAAGCGUGAAGCCCCCCUCAAGAUGAGAUAUCCCAUUCGAAAGAAGUAAGACCCCUUGAAGACGACGAGGUUGAUAGGGCAGGGGUGGAAGUGCCGUAAGGCAUGGAGCUGACUGCUACUAAUCGGUCGAGGGCUUGACC